rnacentral:rRNA from 1 species
CCUACGGGAGGCAGCAGUGGGGAAUUUUGGACAAUGGGGGCAACCCUGAUCCAGCAAUGCCGCGUGUGUGAAGAAGGCCUUCGGGUUGUAAAGCACUUUUGUCCGGAAAGAAAACCAUCGCCCUAAUAUGGUGGUGGGAUGACGGUACCGGAAGAAUAAGCACCGGCUAACUACGUGCCAGCAGCCGCGGUAAUGCGUAGGGUGCGAGCGUUAAUCGGAAUUACUGGGCGUAAAGCGUGCGCAGGCGGUCUGUUAAGACCGAUGUGAAAUCCCCGGGCUUAACCUGGGAACUGCAUUGGUGACUGGCAGGCUUUGAGUGUGGCAGAGGGAGGUAGAAUUCCACGUGUAGCAGUGAAAUGCGUAGAGAUGUGGAGGAAUACCGAUGGCGAAGGCAGCCUCCUGGGCCAACACUGACGCUCAUGCACGAAAGCGUGGGGAGCAAACAGGAUUAGAUACCCUGGUAGUCCACGCCCUAAACGAUGUCAACUAGUUGUUGGGGAUUCAUUUCCUUAGUAACGUAGCUAACGCGUGAAGUUGACCGCCUGGGGAGUACGGUCGCAAGAUUAAAACUCAAAGGAAUUGACGG